GUGAGGAAUAUUGCGCAAUGGAGGCAACUCUGACGCAGCCAUGCCGCGUGCAGGAAGAAGGCGCUACGCGUUGUAAACUGCUUUUAACCGGGAAGAAACCCCAGGACGUGUCCUGGGUUGACGGUACCGGAGGAAUAAGCACCGGCUAACUUCGUGCCAGCAGCCGCGGUAAUACGAAGGGUGCAAGCGUUAUCCGGAUUCAUUGGGUUUAAAGGGUGCGUAGGCGGAGCGUUAAGUCAGUGGUGAAAUCCUGCAGCUUAACUGUAGACUUGCCAUUGAUACUGGCGCUCUUGAGUGCGCUUGAAGUGGGCGGAAUGUGCCGUGUAGCGGUGAAAUGCUUAGAUAUGUCACAGAACACCAAUUGCGAAGGCAGCUCACUAAGGCGAUACUGACGCUGAGGCACGAAAGCGUGGGGAUCGAACAGGAUUAGAUACCCUUGUAGUCC
rnacentral:rRNA from 1 species